rnacentral:rRNA from 1 species
GACAGAGGAUGCAAGCGUUAUCCGGAAUGAUUGGGCGUAAAGCGUCUGUAGGUGGCUUUUUUAAGUCUGCCGUCAAAUCCCAGGGCUCAACUCUGGACAGGCGGUGGAAACUACCAAGCUUGAGUACGGUAGGGGCAGAGGGAAUUUCCGGUGGAGCGGUGAAAUGCGUAGAGAUCCGGAGGAACACCAAAGGCGAAGGCAGUGUCCUGGGGAGUACCUGACGCUCAGGUGCGAAAGCCAGGGGAGCGAACGGG